UUUGAGAUGAGUGAUUUGAUGGUAGGAAGC
rnacentral:piRNA from 1 species